AACGAACGCUGUCGGUAUGCUUAACACAUGCAAGUCGGACGGACUAAUUAGGGCUUGCUCCAAUUAGUUAGUGGCAGACGGGUGAGUAACACGUGGGAAUCUGCCCAUCAGUACGGAAUAACUUUUAGAAAUAAAAGCUAAUACCGUAUAUUCUCUACAGAGGAAAGAUUUAUCGCUGAUGGAUGAGCCCGCGUCAGAUUAGGUAGUUGGUGAGGUAACGGCUCACCAAGCCGACGAUCUGUAGCUGGUCUGAGAGGAUGAUCAGCCACACUGGGACUGAGACACGGCCCAGAACCCUACGGGAGGGAGGAGGAGGGAAUAUUGGGAAAUGGGCGAAAGCCUGAUCCAGCAAUACCGAGUGAGUGAUAAAGGCCCUAGGGUUGUAAAGCUCUUUUAGCAAGGAAGAUAAUGACGUUACUUGCAGAAAAAGCCCCGGCUAACUCCGUG
rnacentral:rRNA from 1 species